rnacentral:rRNA from 1 species
UCCUGGCUCAGAUUGAACGCUGGCGGCAUGCCUUACACAUGCAAGUCGAACGGCAGCACGGGAGCAAUCCGUGGUGGCGAGUGGCGAACGGGUGAGUAAUAUAUCGGAACGUGCCCGGUCGGUGGGGGAUAACGUAGCGAAAGUUACGCUAAUACCGCAUACGAUCUAAGGAUGAAAGCGGGGGAUCGCAAGACCUCGCGCGAUUGGAGCGGCCGAUAUCAGAUUAGGUAGUUGGUGAGGUAAAGGCUCACCAAGCCAACGAUCUGUAGCUGGUCUGAGAGGACGACCAGCCACACUGGAACUGAGACACGGUCCAGACUCCUACGGGAGGCAGCAGUGGGGAAUUUUGGACAAUGGACGCAAGUCUGAUCCAGCCAUUCCGCGUGCAGGAUGAAGGCCCUCGGGUUGUAAACUGCUUUUGUACGGAACGAAAAGGUUUCUAUUAAUACUAGGAGCUCAUGACGGUACCGUAAGAAUAAGCACCGGCUAACUACGUG